rnacentral:rRNA from 1 species
UGGGGAAUAUUGCACAAUGGGCGCAAGCCUGAUGCAGCCAUGCCGCGUGUAUGAAGAAGGCCUUCGGGUUGUAAAGUACUUUCAGCGGGGAGGAAGGGAGUAAAGUUAAUACCUUUGCUCAUUGACGUUACCCGCAGAAGAAGCACCGGCUAACUCCGUGCCAGCAGCCGCGGUAAUACGGAGGGUGCAAGCGUUAAUCGGAAUUACUGGGCGUAAAGCGCACGCAGGCGGUUUGUUAAGUCAGAUGUGAAAUCCCCGGGCUCAACCUGGGAACUGCAUCUGAUACUGGCAAGCUUGAGUCUCGUAGAGGGGGGUAGAAUUCCAGGUGUAGCGGUGAAAUGCGUAGAGAUCUGGAGGAAUACCGGUGGCGAAGGCGGCCCCCUGGACGAAGACUGACGCCCAGGUGCGAAAGCGUGGGGAGCAAACA